UGUCGCCGCGUUGCUUCGUCGUGC
rnacentral:miRNA from 1 species